GGGAGUGACCGGCUUUGACGGUCUGUACCUUGAAAGACGUGCGACGCAGUGCUCUCCGGCCAACACUUUAAUCUGGCACGGAAACAUACUUGCUAAGAAUACUCUUGCAAGCGCGAAGAAGUCUCCUUACUUCGGUAAGGUUGGCGACAUCGCGUUCGCCUACGCGACGGCUCGCGGCUAACGCCACGUUCCUCGCCUAGCGCGACGUUCACUCUCUACCGGCGCUCACAGCGCGGGAGUGGGCGGAAUUAUCUGUGAGAUCGAUAUGCGGACUCCCGACCGUGCAUCUAAAUAAGGGAUCGGGCAGGAAUGGUUUCGUCUGCGUUCCUCGCAUCCUGCCUUAGAAAAUAACGCUGACUACGCGUCGUAGACUCUCUCUCAUGGACGGAUUCGGACUCGGGUUCGAUUCCCGACACUUCCACUA
rnacentral:tmRNA from 1 species